GGUGACAUGGCCGAGCGGUCUAAGGCGCCAGAAUCAGGAUCUUCUUCGGAGAGCUUUUCAUCUGGUCUUUCGGGGCGGGAGUUCGAAUCUCCCUGUCAUCA